UGCAGAGGGUGCAAGCGUUAAUCGGAAUUACUGGGCGUAAAGCGUGCGUAGACGGUCAUGUAAGUCGGGUGUGAAAGCCCCGGGCUCAACCUGGGAAUUGCAUUCGAGACUGCAUGGCUAGGGUGCGGAAGAGGGAAGCGGAAUUUCCGGUGUAGCGGUGAAAUGCGUAGAUAUCGGAAGGAACACCAGUGGCGAAAGCGGCUUCCUGGUCCAGCACCGACGUUCAGGCACGAAAGCGUGGGGAGCAAACAGG
rnacentral:rRNA from 1 species